CGUUAGCGGCGGACGGGUGAGUAACACGUGGAUAACCUACCUAUAAGACUGGGAUAACUUCGGGAAACCGGAGCUAAUACCGGAUAAUAUAUUGAACCGCAUGGUUCAAUAGUGAAAGACGGUUUUGCUGUCACUUAUAGAUGGAUCCGCGCCGCAUUAGCUAGUUGGUAAGGUAACGGCUUACCAAGGCAACGAUGCGUAGCCGACCUGAGAGGGUGAUCGGCCACACUGGAACUUAGACACGGUCCAGACUCCUACGGGAGGCAGCAGGA
rnacentral:rRNA from 1 species